rnacentral:rRNA from 1 species
GUGAACGCUGGCGGUAGGCCUAACCCCUGCAAGUCGAACGGCAGCCCAGUAAGAGCUUGCUCUUACGGGUGGCGAGUGGCGGACGGGUGAGGAAUACAUCGGAAUCUACUUUUUCGUGGGGGAUAACGUAGGGAAACUUACGCUAAUACCGCAUACGACCUACGGGUGAAAGCAGGGGAUCUUCGGACCUUGCGCGGUUGAAUGAACCGAUGUCGGAUUAGCUAGUUGGCGGGGUAAAGGCCCACCAAGGCGACGAUCCGUAGCUGGUCUGAGAGGAUGAUCAGCCACACUGGAACUGAAACACGGUCCAGACUCCUACGGGAGGCAGCAGUGGGGAAUAUUGGACAAUGGGCGCAAGCCUGAUCCAGCCAUACCGCGUGGGUGAAGAAGGCCUUCGGGUUGUAAAGCCCUUUUGUUGGGAAAGAAAAGCAGCAGGUUAAUACCCCGCUGUUCUGACGGUACCCAAAGAAUAAGCACCGGCUAACUUCGUG